GUAGUGUUUCCUUUACUAAUUGUGCAGAGAAAUAAGGCCAUUUCCCAUUUCAAAGGGUGAACUUUGACAUUCUCUCUCCCUCUUUUGUGUCCCUUAUGAAAUGCAAUCUGCUUUGCCCAUGACUCCAUGGCCUUUGUUACUAUAAUUUGUGAGGUCUUCCUCUGACAAAUGCUGAAUUUCGCAACGGAAUUCGUUUAAGUUUUCUCUGCUGUACAAAGUGUAAGUUCUCCAAUACUGCACAUUUUUUUAAAAAACCAAGUGAUACAAAUAGCAUAACACUUUUAAAAAAACAUAAAUAACUUUCAGCAUAAAAAUAGUCCUUUAAGGCAAGAGACUAAAAACUAGAAGAUCCAGAAAGGCACUUUUUUUUUUCUUCUCUUUUCAGUUGGGGUCAGACAUGAUAAUAAUUGCCUGGAAUGUUUGCUCUUCUACUGGGAGCAGAUGCCUUGGGGAGAAGUAUAUCAGGAAUAAACUAGGGGUUACAGUUUUGUUCCGGAAUGGAGAGUGUCCAUAAUCAGGCAAAUCUGCAGGAGUAUCUCUUAUUCUGAUAAAAGCCUGAUGGAAAAGGAUAAGCAAAGAAAGCAACAUAUAUAUGUGUCCAAUGCUCUGGAGCAUAGAAGUAGUUCAGGAAGAUUUUUCCUUGGCUUUCUUGGAUCUGAUACAGCUUUCUACCCCAUUUAAAAGCAUGGUCUGACAGUGAUAUCUUGAAGAUUAUGACUUCCCCAGGAAAGUACAGAAAAGUGAGGUUGUAUCCUCAGGUGGCCACUGUGUUCUUAGGGGCCAGAGAGGAGCAAGAAGCAGAGUUAGGAAUGGUUCCCCUGUAACCUGAUUUUUUUGGGUGGGGGGAGGAGGUAGUGAAGGGAAUUAAAAUAAAUAGGAAACUAUAGUGAAUUGGGAGGAAAGCCAGCAAAAUGAGUUAAGUCUCUGGGCUAACUCAGGACCUGGACCAAGUAGGGCAUUAAGAUAAUGGUAUUUGGCAAGCGGAAACGUGGCGUGAGGAAAAUAUCAGGAGCACACAGCAGAGCCAGGUGUAGGAACACAGACAACCCGUAAGUACUCUUCCCCAGGGACCAAAGGGCCUGAUCAAAACAGAUAACUGAAAUGAGCAGAAUGUAUCGUGCCCACAAACUGAACUGCUGGCAGAGAAGGGUUGAGGAAUGAGGACAGCUAUGAGUUUAUAUUAUGGAGUAAAGAAUUUUCCCCUGCAAGCUUCAAGAAUGGGGACAAGCAGUACCUAAGGACUCCCACGAAAUAGGAGGAGGAUUAUGUAACUACAACUACAUGGGGAAGAUGACAACUGGAGAAAGACUGAACUAUUCAGGAGUCCUACAAAAUGUCUCAUGUUUAUGGAAACUGAAUGGAUGCCCAUCAACUGGGAAAUGGCUAAAUAAUUAUGGUACAUGAAGUGGUGUCGGACUAUUCAUGAUCGCAUUUGGGGUUUUCUUGGCCAUUUCCUUCUUCAGCUCAUUCUGCAGAUGAGAAAACUGAAGCAAAUAGGAUCACACAUCUAGUAAGUGUCUGAGACUGGGUUUGAACUCAGGAAAAUGUCUCUUCCUGACAAAUCCAGUACUCUAUCCACUGUGCACUCAGCUGCCCUUUCAUCAACAUACUGAAGAGAAGAAGAUUUUGUAAGGAACAAUUUUCUAACAUUACAGCUCUUCAACAACAGAAUAAGCUGCUGCUUGAAGCAGUGAGCUCCAUGGAAUUUUAUAAUGCAAGCUAGUAGAGGACUGUUACAGUCUUCCUAUUUCCUUGUCUAGCAUCCAUUUGGAAGGAAGAAACUACUAAUAGGAUCCCUGAAAAACUGGGUAUUGGAGUGAAAAGUAUGGGACUUGCUGACACAAGAAAUCUUAACUCAAACCCCUGGAUCACUGGCAAAUGCAUCAUGCUGCUGCCGAAUCUGUAAAACUGGACUAGAUAAGACUCUACCUCUUUCAAAGUUAAUGUGAAAUAAUCAUUGUACAAGAUGAAUUAUUGUGGCAUUCUGAGCCACAAUAGGAGAAAAAAUUAACUAUUUCAUGUUGAAUUCAGAAUAAAGUUUGAGAUA